rnacentral:rRNA from 1 species
CCUACGGGGGGCAGCAGUGGGGAAUAUUGGGCAAUGGGCGCAAGCCUGACCCAGCAACGCCGCGUGAAGGAAGAAGGCUUUCGGGUUGUAAACUUCUUUUCUCAGGGACGAAGCAAGUGACGGUACCUGAGGAAUAAGCCACGGCUAACUACGUGCCAGCAGCCGCGGUGAUACGUAGGUGGCAAGAGUUAUCCGGAUUUACUGGGUGUAAAGGGCGUGUAGGCGGGAAAGCAAGUCAGAUGUGAAAACCAUGGGCUGAACCUGUGGCCUGCAUUUGAAACUGUUUUUCUUGAGUACUGGAGAGGCAGACGGAAUUCGUAGUGGAGCGGUGAAAUGCGUAGAUAUUAGGAGGAACACCAGUGGCGAAGGCGGUCUGCUGGACAGCAACUGACGCCGAGGCGCGAAAGCGUGGGGAGCAAACAGGAUUAGAUACCCCUGUAGUC